rnacentral:rRNA from 1 species
CCAGACUCCUACGGGAGGCAGCAGUGGGGAAUAUUGGGCAAUGGGGGAAACCCUGACCCAGCGACGCCGCGUGAGGGAAGAAGGUUUUCGGAUUGUAAACCUCUGUCCUUGGUGACGAUAAUGACGGUAGCCAAGGAGGAAGCCACGGCUAACUACGUGCCAGCAGCCGCGGUAAUACGUAGGUGGCGAGCGUUGUCCGGAUUUACUGGGUGUAAAGGGCGUGCAGCCGGGCUGACAAGUCAGAUGUGAAAUCCCGCGGCUCAACCGCGGAACUGCAUUUGAAACUGUCAGUCUUGAGUACCGGAGAGGUCAUCGGAAUUCCUUGUGUAGCGGUGAAAUGCGUAGAUAUAAGGAAGAACACCAGUGGCGAAGGCGGAUGACUGGACGGCAACUGACGGUGAGGCGCGAAAGCGUGGGGAGCAAACAGGAUUAGAUACCCCAGUA